rnacentral:rRNA from 1 species
GACGAACGCUGGCGGCGUGCCUAAUACAUGCAAGUCGAACGCAUUUUCUUUCACCGUAGCUUGCUACACCGAAAGAAAAUGAGUGGCGAACGGGUGAGUAACACGUGGGUAACCUGCCCAUCAGCGGGGGAUAACACUUGGAAACAGGUGCUAAUACCGCAUAAUUCCAUUUACUGCAUGGUAGAUGGAUGAAAGGCGCUUUUGCGUCACUGAUGGAUGGACCCGCGGUGCAUUAGCUAGUUGGUGGGGUAACGGCCUACCAAGGCUGCGAUGCAUAGCCGACCUGAGAGGGUGAUCGGCCACACUGGGACUGAGGCACGGCCCAGACUCCUACGGGAGGCAGCAGUAGGGAAUCUUCGGCAAUGGACGCAAGUCUGACCGAGCAACGCCGCGUGAGUGAAGAAGGUUUUCGGAUCGUAAAACUCUGUUGUUAGAAAAGAACAAGGAUGAGAGUGGAAAGUUCAUCCCUUGACGGUAUCUAACCAGAAAGCCACGGCUAACUACGUG